UGUUGCGGUGAAUACGUUCCCGGGUCUUGUACACACCGCCCGUCAAACCAUCGAAAGUGACCAACACCCGAAGUCCGAUUCGUCGGCCUAAGGUGGGGGGCAUGAUUGGGGUU
rnacentral:rRNA from 1 species